rnacentral:rRNA from 1 species
AAGUCCCGCAACGAGCGCAACCCUAUCAUCUGUUGCCAGCAUUUAAGUGGGGACUCAGAUGAGACUGCCGGUGACAAACCGGAGGAAGGUGGGGACGACGUCAAGUCAUCAUGGCCCUUAUGUCCUGGGCUACACACGUGCUACAAUGGCCGGUACAGAGUGAAGCGAAACCGCGAGGUGAAGCAAAACGCAGAAAGCCGGUCUCAGUACGGAUUGGAGUCUGAAACUCGACUUCAUGAAGUUGGAAUCGCUAGUAAUCGCGCAUCAGCAUGGCGCGGUGAAUACGUUCCCGGGCCUU